rnacentral:lncRNA from 1 species
GGGACUCUUUCUGGCCACAAUAGGGAUGGAAAAGUUGUUUCAAGGGGACUAACACCUGGACUGUGGUAUGCCGGAGGGGGAUCCAUGGCAAAACUCCCAUGGAAAAUUACAGUUGAUGCAGAGUCUGGUUUUAAUCCAUAAAGGGCAGAAAUCACCUAACAUUCCUAAAUCACAAUGAAUAUGGAUUGACACCUGACAUAUGACAUAUUGACACCUUGAC